UACGGAGGGUGCAAACGUUGCUCGGAAUUAUUGGGCGUAAAGCGCACGUAGGCGGUUCGCUAAGUCGGGUGUGAAAGCCCCGGGCUCAACCCGGGAAGUGCAUUCGAAACUGACGAGCUUGAGUACGGAAGAGGGUCUCGGAAUUCCCGGUGUAGAGGUGAAAUUCGUAGAUAUCGGGAGGAACACCAGUGGCGAAGGCGGAGACCUGGGCCGAUACUGACGAUGAGGUGCGAAAGAGUGGGGAGCAAACAGG
rnacentral:rRNA from 1 species